rnacentral:rRNA from 1 species
UGUUCUUGAGUAUAGUUGAGGUGGGCGGAAUGUGUCGUGUAGCGGUGAAAUGCUUAGAUAUGACACAGAACACCGAUUGCGUAGGCAGCUCACUAAACUAUAACUGACGCUGAGGCACGAAAGCGUGGGUAGCGAACAGGAUUAGAUACCCUGGUAGUCCACGCUGUAAACUAUGAUUACUCGUUGUGUGCAAUAUAUCGUACGCGACUAAGCGAAAGCAUUAAGUAAUCCACCUGGGGAGUACGUCGGCAACGAUGAAACUCAAAGGAAUUGACGGGGGCCCGCACAAGCGGAGGAACAUGUGGUUUAAUUCGAUGAUACGCGAGGAACCUUACCUGGGCUUAAAUGCAGAAUGACAUUUUGAGAAAUUGAAAUUCCCUUCGGGGCAAUUUGCAAGGUGCUGCAUGGUUGUCGUCAGCUCGUGCCGUGAGGUGUCGGGUUAAGUCCCAUAACGAGCGCAACCCUCAUUGUUAGUUGCCAGCGGGUCAUGCCGGGGACUCUAACAAAACUGCCGGUGUAAACCGAGAGGAAGGUGAGGAUGACGUCAAAUCAGCACGGCCCUUAUGUCCAGGGCUACACACGUGUUACAAUGGUCGAUACAAAGGGCUGCUACUUGGUAACAAGAUGCAAAUCUUAAAAGUCGAUCUCAGUUCGGAUCGAAGUCUGCAACUCGACUUCGUGAAGUUGGAUUCGCUAGUAAUCGUAUAUCAGCAAUGAUACGGUGAAUACGUU